GUGAAAUGAACAGAAUCAUAAAGUCAGGCUGGCUUGGAGAACAAAAACAGCAGCACAGCCUGCACUGAUGGGAUAAGAGCAUACCAAGAAUGGAGAAAUGCUGGGAGCUAUUGGCAAUUCAACACAGAGCAAGUACAGAAUGCAGAUCUCUGAUAUGCAGACUAAGGUGAAAGCAGUAAGUGAGGAAGGUUCCUGCGUUGCAAAAGAGGAGGGGUUCCUGGGUAGUGAGCUGAAGCGACGGAGAACCAGCUUCAGAGGAAGAUGCAUGAAAGAGGCAAAGACUUCAUGUUAAGCCUGGCACCUUCUUAGGCUGGUGAGUGGUGAAAUUCAAUGUUCAUCUUUCCAUAACCUGCGGGACGUUCUUUUUCUCAGAAUAAAAAAGAAGGGAAAAACAGCAUUAGAUAGACUUAGGAGGGAAGGAGCAGCUACACUAAACUAACUUGAAUUUGUACAGAUGCUUGCAAAUCAUAGAUUUUCUUAAAUCUUUCAUGGAAACAUACUGUACAGUUUGUAUAAUGCCUAAAAUCUCAGAUAUCGCUUUGCCACAGAUUUCACAUGAGAAGUUUGUUCUACACUGAUAGGAUUUCAGACUCCUCUGAGGAGAUAAUUUGUACCUAACUUAACUAAUGCUUGAUUUUUACACAGAGAUCAUUUUAUGCAGUGAUCAUUCACUGCUUUCAACAGUCCAAACUGGAAAGGCCCAUUACAAAAUUUAUCAGUAAGAUAGCAGUGUCACAGGAGAGUAGUAAUUGCUUUGAACAACAACAGGAAAAGCAAAUAACCCAAAAAACGUCAAAUUUCUUCAAAAUGCAGGGAGUCAGCUUCAUGUGGAAGCAUAUUUCUUAUCAUCAGGUGCUUUUCUUAUAUUCAGUUCUAGACUUUGCUUUAAAAGUGCUUUUCAAUUCCAUUCCUCUAUUUGAAAUAUACUCACCCAAAUAUCUGAACUGCCAUUUCCCAAGGAAGAUCAGAGCCUGUGGCAGUGCAAUAAAGUUGAUCUUUGAUGUUAGGGGCAUCAGGAGCAACAUCAUGGUGUAGAAAUAAUGAGCUACGAGGGCAGCUAUUUUUUUUCAGGCACUGAUGCUGAGUGAGGUAUCCUAGUGCAGGAUGAGGGCAUGCUGCCUUCCAGUGAAUGCAUCUACCAGACUUUAGGCUCACCUGCAGUGAUGCUGGCUGCAAAGGCAUUUAGCAUUAAUUGGCCACAUGCGGUGUGUGAAAGAUGUUGAGUUGUGUGAUGAAAGCUGAUAGAUAAAUGUAGAGUGAACAAACAAAAGCAUUUUACUGGAGUAUUAUGAGGCAACUGAAAUAACUCAAGUAAUGCUGUAUGUUCAGGCAAGGAAGCCUCCUGGAUGAAGUAAUACCCUGUAGCAGUGCAUGUAGAAUCAUAGAAUCUUUUGAAAUGGGAAGGAUGCUCAAAGGCCAUCUAGUCUAGCUCCCCUGCAACGAACAGCAAAGUGCACAGCUAUAUCAGGGUGCUCAGAGCCUGGUCCAGCCUGACCUUGAAAGUCUCCAGGAAGGGGACAUCCACCACAUCACUGAGCAGCCUGUGCCAGUGCCUCACCACUGUCACUGGAAAAGACUUUUUUCUUAUAACUAACUGAAAUCUCCUCUCUUUACAUUUGAAACCAUUUCCCCUUGUCCUGUCAUCUCAGAUGCUGCUCCCCUUCUUAAAGCUCCCCUUUAGAUCCUGACAGGCCGCUUGCAGCCUCCUCUUCUCCAGGCUGAACAGCCCCAGCUCUCUCAGUCUGUCCUCCUGGGUGAGAUGUCCCAUCCUUUGGAUCAUUUUUGUGGCCCUCUUCUAGAUGCACUCAAAGGAUUUUUCAAGUAUUUCACUUCAAUUUGUAUGUAUGUAAGGGUACAUUCAGAGGUUUCUUUUUUAAUAAUUAAUAAUAUAUAUCUUUUUAAUAUGGACACAUCUUAUGCUUCUAAGGCCUUAUGCCCUGGGAUAGAAUCCUACUCUUGGCUUACCUUUUGAGCGUGUGUCCCACUGCCAUUACCAGCUUCUCGUGUUAAAGCUUCUCAGGUGCAGAGUCUGCUUGCAAUGAUGUGGUUUUAGGACGUGUUUGUUUUUUCCCAAGAGCUGAUGGGCUGCUGUCAUUCCAGGCAUCCCUUAAAUGUUCAGCUGGAUGAUGAGAUGAGCACCUGUCUGUUUCCACAGUUUGCAUAAUUUGUAUUUCUGUAGGUGGUGCAGUACACAAUUCUUGGAGGUGUGUGUGAAACGGUCCUGAAUGAUGAGGGAGUGCUGGAAAAAACAGAUGAGAAGUUCCAGCUGUUUCUACUGCCAUUUAAUUUUUAAACAUGGAUGGACAAGGGAGAGAAUAGCAAGGGGAGGGAGAAGAAAGGAUUUGGGGAUUGCAAAUGUUUCCGUGCCAGUAACGUGCUAUUUUUCAGCUCCAAAAGAACUCUCUGUAAUGCGGAAAUGAAGUGGUUUACCCAGCAGAAAAUAAGUGUUGCUGCUGUAUUGUUUUUGGCAGGAGUUGGUGGUUCAUCAUUUGGACACAUCAGAUGAGCUCAGAUGAACUUUGGUACUUGCAUUCGCUUGCUCUGCGAUUGGAUCACGUGAACCCAAACCCGUGGGGCUCUGAAACGAGAGCAGCAGUAAAAGAUGAAGAUUGCAGUAAGGUAGAAAGGAUGUAUGUUUUGUCGAUAGAUCGCUCUGGUUUUGAUGUUGCGAGCAUAAAAUUGUAAAGAUGAAGUGUAAAGAAGGCAUUUUCAACACUAUGUUGCAGAAAUAGAUGAUGUGAAUCUUACUGUUUGGUUUAUGACUAUGCAAUAUUGCUUUCAGACACUUGUUGGUCUGUGGUCUGCUAUGGCAGGCAUGUCCAACCCAUGGCCCAGCACAUCUCACAUUGUGGCUGCCCCUGCUCUACGCCAUCAUGGCAGCAGCUCUUCCUGCCUUGUGCCCAGCGCCAACCAAACACUGGUGUGCUGUGAAUCACUUCUGGGCUGAGACCAGGGCACGGGGAGGGAGCAAUGCAGUGCCGACUCUUAUGGUAAGCUUACGGCAAAUAAGUUUUAGAGCUUUGGCUAAGUCCUGUGAGCAGUGAAAAAUGUGCAGCCAUGCUUUCUAUUUUGAUAAAGGAAUUUGAGUUUGAAGAUUGCUGAAAAAAUCAUCAAUUUUUUUGUUAAUUUACAACUCUAUUUUCAGUCUACAAAAAUACAUUAUCUGUGAAUUUUCAAAUGGAAUAUUUUAUCUCUUCACCAAACUCUUGUAAGUCCUCUCUUUCCAGAGGGAAACAUCCCUCAGUUUAUGAUCACACCUCAUUCAUGUCCUCGCUUCUUGGCAGUGCGUGCAUUUGUGAACAACUGUUUUGAAGGAUGAAGCACAGGAAGAGUAAAAUUUUAACCAAAUUCUCUACUCUAAGAAUUGUAGUCACUGCUAUUGAACCAGCCUGAUGCAUUGAUUUCACAAAGUAAAAUAUCCCACUAGUUUUAUGUUUUUUG